AUGGAGGAGGCAGCAGAGACUCUGCUCUCCUCGUUUGGAUUAAUUCUGAUAUAAUAACUGUUGGUUUAUUUAUCGGUGCAGCAGCAGAACAUUUUCCACAGACAGUUUUCCUGCCCGUUGGCUUGUUUUAACCAGUUUUCUACCUUCGGCUGAUUCUACCAGCAGACACUGAAAGGACUCUGAUAGUUCGAGUGAAAGUAGCAAUUCCUCCUUAAAGUCAGAGAUUGCAGCAUCUGAGGGCCUCUUCAAAAGAAGAUGUAGUUGAUGAAGGUGUUCUGGAGCAGGACCAGAAAGACCACGACCAAGCAGCCUUGAGAUCUUAGGCAGCGUCUCCCUCAGGUCCCUCUCUAUCUCCCCACAGAUCCACCAACCACUGGAACACAUCUCCAAAGUUCUGCCGGUCCAGCUCAGCUUCCCCUCAGAAGAAGUUCCGCCACCUGCCAGAUGAAGGAGCCUUUUGAGUGGCAGCUGGCAUCGUGAUUGGACUGUACUUUGGUCUGUUCCAAUCCAGCUUCAGCUCCAGAGACGGCAGGCGGGACGAGUCAACGGAGGCCGGGUGGACGAAGGCAUGCAGCUGAGUACAAUCCAGAAAACAACAGAGGAGGAGUGCAGGGCCAGAACAAACAGAGUAGCAUCGUAUGUCUCUUAGAAAACAUCAUAGUAUAGCCUUUGACCAAAGAACUACAGACUCUUCACAACCUGCUCAAACUCUUGGUACAGGACCUCACCACACGGGUCAAGAAGGUUUCCUUCUCAUUUCUACUCUGAAGCUCACCUUCUCCUGCUCAAACUGCUGACAAAUGU
ensembl:lncRNA